rnacentral:lncRNA from 1 species
UUUCUUUUUUUAUAGAGAACUUAAACUGGUCAAUGAUAAAGCUAUAAAAAGUUAAGAGAGAACAUUUUCCUGCCAGAAUUUCAAUUGCUAUUGAAUAUCCCGAAAAUAAGCAUAAGGACCUAUAUUUUUUUGUUCUUUAGUUUCCCUCAUUGAUCCCCUAUCAAUAUAUAGUAGUGUAAUUGUUAUUUUGAAACUGAGAAGCAA